CCUACGGGAGGCAGCAGUGGGGAAUAUUGGACAAUUGGCGAAAGCCUGAUCCAGCCAUGCCGCGUGUGUGAAGAAGGCCUUCGGGUUGUAAAGCACUUUCAGUGGGGAAGAAAGCCUUGGGGCUAAUACCCUCGAGGAAGGACAUCACCCACAGAAGAAGCACCGGCUAACUCCGUGCCAGCAGCCGCGGUAAUACGGAGGGUGCGAGCGUUAAUCGGAAUUACUGGGCGUAAAGCGCGCGUAGGCGGUCUGAUAAGCCGGUUGUGAAAGCCCCGGGCUCAACCUGGGAACGGCAUCCGGAACUGUCAGGCUAGAGUGCAGGAGAGGAAGGUAGAAUUCCCGGUGUAGCGGUGAAAUGCGUAGAGAUCGGGAGGAAUACCAGUGGCGAAGGCGGCCUUCUGGACUGACACUGACGCUGAGGUGCGAAAGCGUGGGUAGCAAACAGGAUUAGAUACCCCUGUAGUC
rnacentral:rRNA from 1 species